GGAAGAUCUCUCUUCCGAACAGAACAAGUUUCAAUACUACUAUCGGAAUCUCAGUCGUCACUCAGUACAACAACAGGCAUGGAUUCAGAAAAGGAGGGCAGAGAACAUGGCAAGGAAAGCUGCCGGAGAGGAGCCGCUUCCUGAGGAGGAUCCAUCAAAUCCCAUCUUUAAGCCCCUGCCGGAGCCAUCACGCCUUGAUAGCUAUCUCAUCACAAAUCAAGUUGCCAAUUACUGCAACCAAAUUAAUGGUGUUGCUGGGCAAAAUUUCAGCAGAUUAUACUUGAUGAAGGCCUUGCACGAGACUUGAUCUGUGUAUUGCUUCUUAUUAACGCUCUAUCUUUUCAGAGGUUUGAAAAUGUAUACUGGUAUUCAGAUUUAGUACCUGAGGAUUUGGAAUUUUGGGUCAUAUAUUUG
rnacentral:misc_RNA from 1 species